CCUACGGGAGGCAGCAGUGGGGAAUUUUGCGCAAUGCUCGUAAGAGUGACGCAGCGACGCCGCGUGAAUGACGAAGGCCUUCGGGUCGUAAAGUUCUUUCGACAGGGAAGAAAAUGCCUAUAAGUAACUGUGUAUGUAUUGACGGUACCUGUAUAAGCCGCCCCGGCUAACUCCGUGCCAGCAGCCGCGGUAAUACGGAGGGGGCGAGCGUUGUUCGGAGUGACUGGGCGUAAAGAGCACGUAGGCGGUGUUGUAAGUCAUUAGUCAAAGACUAGAGCUCAACUUUAGUAAGGCUAGUGAUACUAGACUACGAGAGUAUCAAAGAGGAUUGCAGAAUUCCUGGUGUAGCGGUGAAAUGCGUAGAUAUCAGGAGGAAUACCGUUAGCGAAGGCGGCAAUCUGGCUGGAAACUGACGCUGAGGUGCGAAAGCGUGGGUAGCAAACAGGAUUAGAUACCCGGGUAGUC
rnacentral:rRNA from 1 species